rnacentral:rRNA from 1 species
UGCCAGCCGCCGCGGUAAUACGGAGGGUGCGAGCGUUAAUCGGAAUCACUGGGCAUAAGGCGCACGUAGGCGGUCCGCUAAGUCAGAUGUGAAAUCCCUCGGCUCAACCGAGGAACUGCACCUGAUACUGACGGACUCGAGGACGGUAGGGGUGAGUGGAACUCCAGGUGGAGCGGUGAAAUGCGUAGAUAUCUGGAGGAACACCGGUGGCGAAGGCGGCUUCCCGGAUCAACACUGACGCUCAUGUGCGAAAGUGUGGGUAGCGAACAGGAUUAGAUA